rnacentral:rRNA from 1 species
AUUGAACGCUGGCGGCAGGCUUAACACAUGCAAGUCGAGCGGAGAUGAGGUGCUUGCACCUUAUCUUAGCGGCGGACGGGUGAGUAAUGCUUAGGAAUCUGCCUAUUAGUGGGGGACAACAUUCCGAAAGGAAUGCUAAUACCGCAUACGUCCUACGGGAGAAAGCAGGGGAUCUUCGGACCUUGCGCUAAUAGAUGAGCCUAAGUCGGAUUAGCAAGUUGGUGGGGUAAAGGCCUACCAAGGCGACGAUCUGUAGCGGGUCUGAGAGGAUGAUCAGCCACACUGGGACUGAGACACAGCCCAGACUCCUACGGGAGGCAGCAGUGGGGAAUAUUGGACAAUGGGGGGAACCCUGAUCCAGCCAUGCCGCGUGUGUGAAGAAGGCCUUAUGGUUGUAAAGCACUUUAAGCGAGGAGGAGGCUACUGAGACUAAUACUCUUGGAUAGUGGACGUUACUCGCAGAAUAAGCACCGGCUAACUCUGUGCCAGCAGCCGCAGUAAUAC